UACGUAGGUGGCAAGCGUUGUCCGGAAUUAUUGGGCGUAAAGCGCGCGCAGGCGGUCCUUUAAGUCUGAUGUGAAAGCCCACGGCUCAACCGUGGAGGGUCAUUGGAAACUGGGGGACUUGAGUGCAGAAGAGGAGAGCGGAAUUCCACGUGUAGCGGUGAAAUGCGUAGAGAUGUGGAGGAACACCAGUGGCGAAGGCGGCUCUCUGGACCGGAACUGACGCUGAGGCGCGAAAGCGUGGGGAGCAAACAGG
rnacentral:rRNA from 1 species